rnacentral:sRNA from 1 species
GCUGGACGUGGGGGAGGCAUGCCUGUAAUCCAAGCAUCUUGGGAAGCUGAGGCAGGAGGAUUGAGAGUUCAAAGCCUGCCUCAG